rnacentral:rRNA from 1 species
GUAGUCCACGCCCUAAACGAUGUCAACUGGUUGUCGGGGAAGUAAUUCCUUGGUAACGAAGCUAACGCGUGAAGUUGACCGCCUGGGGAGUACGGCCGCAAGGCUAAAACUCAAAGGAAUUGACGGGGACCCGCACAAGCGGUGGAUUAUGUGGAUUAAUUCGAUGCAACGCGAAAAACCUUACCUACCCUUGACAUGUGCGGAACGGGGUAGAGAUACCUCGGUGCCCGAAAGGGAACCGCAACACAGGUGCUGCAUGGCUGUCGUCAGCUCGUGUCGUGAGAUGUUGGGUUAAGUCCCGCAACGAGCGCAACCCUUGCCAUUAGUUGCUACAUUCAGUUGGGCACUCUAGUGGGACUGCCGGUGACAAACCGGA